UGCCACUGGAUCAGUAACUGCCAGCCUGACCAUGUGAGGUGACUAUUCUGAAAAUACUACAGUGCAACGCAGUGCUGGGCCAGCAGGCUUCCUGGUCUUGUUGCUUUCAACAAUGCCAACCUAAGCAAGCACCUGAUGAGCAGCUUUCAAGGUUUUGCACAAUUGGCCCUACUAGCACCUGUGGCAGUGCUUCGAGAGAGAUCCAAGGUGAUCAGCACGCUUAGAUGCAACUCUGUGAGGCCUGCUGCCUGCCUGCUUCACCAAGUUACAUGAGGCGAUGAUCAGAACAGCAAUCACACAGCAAUAUCCAUGAGAUCUUCUGAAUGAGCCUGCAGAUGAGUCACCAUGCUUCCCUCCUCCUUCAGCAAGGCCCUGACCCACUGCAGGGAAGGACUGAUCUCCUGGCUCAGAGAACAGAGCUAGAGUCUCUGGACGGUGGCGGCUGUCACCACGGUGCUGACAAGGUGAUGGCGACACAGCCGCCAGAGGGAGGCCUGCAGCUGCGAUGCAGAAGCGGGACGCACUAGGACAAGCACAUGCACACCCAUUCCUCAUGGACAGCACAGUCUAGUCUACUUCAGAGAGCAAGAACUUAACAGCUUGGAAACAAAUCUUCAACAGGACAGCCGUCCUCAACGCUAAAAUAAGCAAGAAGAGAAAGGUAAUCACUGAUGUGGAUCAGUUAAUCGAAGAAGAAACCUAAGUUGCUGCUUUAGACUAACAGGCCUCACAGAAGGCAAUUUCCCAUCACAGCAUUUUCAAUGACUGGUACUACUCUGCAGGGUCAGAGAUGUGUUCGGGAGAAGAGCUCCUCUCUGCUGGGGCCCACCCACUCUCCGCCGGCUUCGGAGCCUGUGUCACCCGUGUCAGAGCUGGCACUGGAACACAUCUUCCUGUGGAGGCCAUUUGGUUUUGUCUCAGAACCUCUCUCUCCUGUGCAUCUUGCUUCAUAAACAGAAGACACCUACAAUUCAAGAAACAAUUUUCAAUACACCAAAAAUCAGACAAUCCCCCCAAAGGCUGAUCUUAUUCACAGACAGAGAUGAAAUAGCAAUCACUUCUAUCUCCUACAGAAAGCUACAAAGACGUGAAGUCACCUGAAGGGUCCAAUCCUAAUUCUGCAUAUCUAGUCACAAGAAUCUAUGUGGCCACACUAGGGUAGGACAAAGGGACUCCUUAACUCUCAGCUGGUUCAGGGUAGCCCAUGAAGCUUUGCACAGGCUUCCCUAAGUAAACAAACAUGGUCAUGCACAAGGACUCAGUUCCAGCAGACAAACAAACCAAAGGACAAAGCUUCAGACUGUAGACAUGAGGAUACUGGUUAAGGGGCACUCUGAACAGGGGCACGGUGCUCCAGAAGGUGGCACUCCUGAGCAGAGGUUGGUGCUCUGCACAGCAGUGCUGGGCUAACCAGUUGUGCUAUAGAGCAUCUCUUGUGUUUAUAGGAAGGCUGCCAUCUAGAACCCCAAAGACACUUGAUGGCAAUGGUAGUGGGCCUUUCAUCAGUUACAGCAACUAACAAUAUUUCCCAGUGCAUCACAAUAUCCACCAUUAGCAUCACCCCAUCACAGUCCCUGUUUUUGAGCUCAAGGCGGACACACAGAAAAGCUAUGUGAGAGCAAAGCACACAAGGCUUCCAGGCAGAGGGAGUCUUCCAAGUGAUGAUAGCAUGGGUCCCACAGCCAGACUGUUGGGGUACACAGCCCUAUGCUCCAUCUCUAGAUACCUCCAUUUUAUACUCUGCAAAUGGAUGAGGGUGCCAAGAAUACUUAGUGCACAGGGGUGUUCUUAGGUCACUGCCUUCAGAAUGUCGAUAAUUGUCAAGGACUAGAAAGGCUGUGGCUGCUGUUGAGAAUUAGCAGUGGAAAGAUGGUGUGGAGGAAAGAAAUGGCUAGAAAGUGGAGGUGAGAGACAUUAACAGGCUGGCAGACACACUGUGGGCAGAGGUGAGAGGAAGAGACAGGUGAAGAGACACCCUGAGGGUGGAAGGCUAUGGGGAGGCCUUACAUGUGAGCUUGGACAUAUAUUAACACAAACUGAUAAGUCAUCGGGAUUAGCACUACAUGGUGGUUUUGAAAAUUCUUACAGAGCCUGUGCUAACAUUGAUAACUCUGAGAAGAAAAUAGGUUUUCUUCAAUUCACUGGUCUUAACUUGCCUAACAGUGAAGGCUUGAGACUGAGCUAAAAGUAGGUCAAGGUCUUGAAUAUGCCUUCAUCGUGCUCACAGGCAUGGUGGAAAGACAGAAGUGUCUGGGAUGGCGGGACUCCACCCAGAGAGUGCAUAAGAGCACAGAAAGGGCAGGGUCUGUCCCGUACAGGCUGGAAAAUCCGCUGGAAGGAAGAUGCUACUCAGGACUGGACAAUAAACAACAGGCUUAGUACGGCACUUAAGACCACCUGUGCCAGCAGUGGAGUGCCAGUGCGGGGAUUAGAGGCUGUUCAUGAAGGUCUGGCAAAUGGUUGGGUCUUGGGGUCAGGGGUGAGACAGAUCCAAAGAAAGGGCCAAGAGGAGAAAGGCAACACCCAGGAUCUGGGAAGAUGGGCCAAGGGUGGGUCACAGGACCCUCAAGUCUGUGACUAGAAUGGUAGGGAGGAGGACAGUCCACUUACCCUAUUAAAAUCUAACAGACGCUCUUCACGACUGGGUGUCUCUUUAGCAUCUGGAUAUUCUUCUAUACCAUUCUCUCCCUUGGCAUUUGUAUAACAUUCUUAAUCAUUUUGAAUGGAGAAGGGAAAAGAGGGAAAGGGGGAAAUUCAAUUAAGACAGUUGAAACACAUACCCUUGUUUCACCUCACUGAAAAGCUAGGUCUCCCCUCCCUCUGGAAGUUUACAUUGUCAUUGAAAGCACAGCCAGUCUGGAGUGUAUGAGAAAACAUGACAUUAACUGAAAACUUCAGCCACAAGUAUGUAACAAAUAAUAAAAACCAGGCCAGCUUAAGCAUA